rnacentral:rRNA from 1 species
AUGGCGCCUGCCGAGGACGGCCAGCAGCCGCCGCUUCACAUGCUCUUCGCGGCUCGCGGCGUCCGGUGCACCAUCCUCACCACGCCCGUGCAAGCCUCCAUCAUCCGCUCCAUCGUCGACCUCUCUUCCCCACCAAUCGACAUCGCUGUCGUGCCUUUCCCUGACGUCGGUCUCCUGCCGGGCACCCAGAGCGGCUCCGGUGGUGACCAUGGCAAGCUCCAGCAGGCGGCGCGGCAGCUCCGGGAGCCCUUCCGGCAGUUCCUCGCCGACCACCACGUCGAGAUCGACGCCGUGGUCUCCGAUAGCUUCUUCCCCUGGUCGCUGGACGUCACGGCCGAGUAUGGCGUCCCGCGCCUAGCGUUCCUCGGCACCAGCAUGUUCGCCCGGUGCUGCGCCGAAAGCAUGCUGCGGAACGACAACCCCGACGACGACGACGACGACGACGAGGGUGAUCCCAACGCCGUAUUAUCCGUGCCCGGGAUGCCGCACCACGUGGAGCUGAGGCGGAGCCAGUUGAUGAGGCACCCCGACCAGUUGACGUUUGUCAAGGGCAUCUACGCCGCUGACCAGAAAAGCUACGGCGAGCUGGUCAACAGCUUCCACGAGCUCGAGCUGGGCUACGUGGAGCACUACCGCACGACGCUCCGCCGCCGCGCGUGGCUCGUCGGGCCGGUCGCGCUCGCCAGCGGCAGCAAGGACGAGGCGUCCAGAGGCACCGACGUGCUCUCGCCGGACGCAGACGGCUGCAUCCCCUGGCUCGACGCCAAGCCGGCUGGAUCGGUAGUGUACGUCGCCUUCGGCACGCUAGCCAGCUUCUCGCCAGAGCAGCUCCGGGAGCUCGCCCGCGGCCUCGACCUCUCCGGCAAGAACUUCGUGUGGGUCAUCUCCGGCGCCGACGCAGCAUCGUCGGACAUAUGGAUGCCGGAAGGCUUCCCAACGGCUUCCCGUGGUUACAUCAUCCGCGGCUGGGCGCAACAGGUACUCAUCUUAAACCACCCAGCCGUCGGCGACUUCCUGACGCACUGUGGGUGGAACUCGACGCUGGAGGCGGUGAGCGCCGGCGUGCCGAUGGUGACGUGGCCGCGCCACGCCGACCAGUUCUUCAACGAGAAGCUGGUCGUGGACGUGCUCGAGGUCGGCGUCAGCGUCGGCGCCAAGGACUACGGGUCGUCCAUGGAGACCCAUCGGGUGAUCGGCGCCGAGGUGAUCGCCGGCGCCGUCGGGACAUUGAUGGAGGUCCAAGGCGACGCGAUGCGAAGCAGGGCGAGGGACCUCGGAAUAAAAGCGAGGAGCGCGGUGGAGAAGGGUGGAUCAUCGUACGGUGAUGCUGGACAGCUGGUGGAUGAGCUCAUGGCUCGCCGGAGUCGGCAACCGGGUGGUGGACGGUGA